GAACUGGAGGUUGGAGCUGUGGCUUCGGAGCCAAACGCGAUGAAACCGGUAUCCGCAGGGUUCGUGGACAGUAAGCUAAAGCGACGAGUCAUUCAGUAUCUUAACAGUAACAGAUGUGGCAAAUAUGUGGACACUGGAUUCUUAGCAUCUGAUUUGCAAAGAAUGUACAGUGUAGACUAUGGUCGAAGAAAAAAAAAUGCUUUCAGGAUUCAGGUAGAAAAAGUGUUUAACAUAAUUAGUACUGAGAAGAAACUUAAGGAUCUAACAGAAUUAGAAGGUGAAAAUCUAGCAAAAAGAUCAAGACAAGGUGAAGAGGAUAAUGAGUAUACUGAAAGCAGUUCUGAUGAUGAUUCAGAUAUGGAAGAUUACCCAGAUCCACAGUCAGCCAAUCACAUGAACAGUUCCCUGCUCUCCUUGUAUCGGAAAGGAAAUGCUGAUUCUGUUCCAAAUACUUCCAAGAUGGAGCAAAGAGAAACCACCACUUCAGCACCGCGGCUAACUUCCAAAACAGGCUCCGUUCCUUUGAAGACCUCUGCUACAGUUUCUGAAGGAGGAUGGUUUAUUGACAAAACCCCAGGUGGAACGAAAGAUUGUUUUUUCUUGGACCUAUCAGAUGAGACAAGUAAUCAUGAGAAGCCAGUAUCUGAGAUACAGGAUUCCAAAGAUUCUUCUCUUCUGGAGAGUGAUAAAAAACCAAAAGGCAGGCUAAAGAGCAAAGGAAGCAAAAGGAAGAAAGACCAUCUUCAGGAAGUGGAUGGAGAAAUAGAAGCUGUCUUGCAAAAGAAAGCUAAAGCCAGGGGGCUAGAAUUGCAAAUCUCCAAUGUGAAGUUUGAAGAUGUUGGGGGCAAUGAUAUGACACUAAAGGAAGUCUGCAAGAUGCUCAUACACAUGCGUCACCCGGAGGUGUACCAGCACCUGGGCGUCGUCCCCCCUCGAGGAGUUCUCCUUCACGGGCCCCCAGGCUGUGGGAAGACAUUACUUGCUCAAGCAAUUGCUGGGGAACUUGACCUGCCAAUUUUGAAAGUCGCUGCUACAGAGAUUGUGUCUGGAGUGUCUGGAGAAUCUGAACAGAAGCUGAGAGAACUAUUCGAACAAGCAGUGUCAAGUGCACCAUGCAUCCUUUUUAUUGAUGAAAUUGAUGCUAUUACCCCCAAAAGAGAAGUUGCUUCAAAAGAUAUGGAACGAAGAAUUGUAGCCCAGCUCCUUACCUGCAUGGAUGAUCUGAACAACGUGGCCACUACAGCUCGAGUCCUAGUCAUUGGCGCUACUAACCGACCAGACUCGUUAGACCCUGCUUUGAGACGCGCAGGAAGGUUUGACCGAGAAAUAUGCCUGGGUAUCCCAGAUGAAGCAUCCAGGGAAAGAAUACUUCAGACCUUAUGCAGGAAGCUAAAACUUCCUGAAGCUUUUCAUUUUCAUCACUUAGCACACCUCACACCAGGCUUUGUUGGUGCUGACCUGAUGGCGCUCUGCCGAGAGGCAGCCAUGUGUGCAGUCAACAGGGUCUUGAUGAAGCUACAGGAGCAGCAGAAGAAAAGUCCUGAGAUUGAAGGUUGGCCUGCUGCAGGAUGCCAGGAAGAAAGGAUAGGAACUGAGCAUGUUUCCAAAACACAGGUGCAUUCUAUAAAGGAUGAAUUGCAAAGAUUGCUGGGGUUGCUGAGAGACCAAGAGCCCCUCUCGGAAGAACAGCUGCAAGGGCUGUGCAUUGAAUUGAAUGAUUUCAUUGUUGCUCUAGCCUCAGUACAACCCUCUGCCAAAAGGGAAGGCUUUGUCACUGUCCCCAAUGUCACAUGGGCAGAUAUUGGUGCCCUGGAAGAUAUUAGAGAGGAGCUCACCAUGGCAAUAUUGGCACCAGUACGUAACCCAGAUCAGUUCAAAGCUCUCGGAUUAGUGACUCCAGCUGGUGUCCUUCUUGCUGGUCCUCCUGGCUGUGGUAAAACUCUCCUGGCAAAGGCCGUGGCAAAUGAGUCUGGACUAAACUUCAUAUCUGUAAAGGGUCCUGAAUUACUAAACAUGUACGUUGGCGAGAGUGAACGCGCUGUGCGCCAGGUUUUUCAGCGAGCCAAGAACUCAGCACCCUGUGUGAUAUUCUUCGAUGAAGUGGAUGCCUUAUGCCCUCGAAGAUCAGACCGAGAGGCAGGGGCAAGCGUCCGAGUGGUGAAUCAGCUGCUUACGGAGAUGGAUGGUCUGGAAACACGACAGCAGGUCUUUAUUAUGGCGGCCACUAACAGGCCAGAUAUCAUUGACCCUGCAAUCCUGCGCCCAGGCCGGCUAGACAAAACACUCUUUGUUGGUUUACCACCUGCAGCUGAUCGUCUUGCCAUCUUAAAAACUAUCACAAAAAAUGGUACCAAACCCCCACUGGAUGCAGAUGUAAAUUUGGAAGCAAUUGCUGGUGACCUCCGCUGUGAUUGCUAUACGGGCGCAGAUCUCUCGGCGUUGGUGCGGGAAGCUUCUCUCUGUGCCCUGAGACAGGAAAUGGCAAGACAGAAGAAUGGAAAUGAAAAAGGUGAACUCAAGAUUAGUCUUAAACACUUUGAAGAAGCUUUUAAGAAAGUAAAACCAUCUAUAUCAAAAAAGGAUCAAGUGAUGUAUGAAGCUCUGCAGCAGUCUCUCCGCUGAUGACGUCUCCAACGCAUCGUGCUGGUGGAGGAGCCAGCACACUCAGGUUCCAGCUUGCAGCAUAGCACAGAUGUGAUUUCAUGGAGGCAUUUUAUUUUCAAGUUAGUGAGACCAAGCUCAAACUGAAGAUUCUUCCUGUCUGGCCAGCCUUGCAUGGAAACACCCUACCUCCUUUUUAAGAAAAAGAAAAAUUCAGCAACUGCUGAAAUAAAAUAACUGAAAGUUUUUCUAAAUAAAAUUUUUAUUUUGAAACAUUUUCAGCUGUACAGAGAAGUUGCACGUACAUUACAAAGUGCUGUUUUUCCUGAACCAUCUGAGGCUAGAAUCUGAUAAAGUGACGAUGAACCAGCUUAGACCACGUAAAUGGGGACAACAUCUUGGGACAGCAGAGCAGCAGAACCUCCUUACCCCUCGGACUGUCAACUGGCUUGGACUUUGUGUGCGACUUUUUAUCUUGCUUAAGCCCUUUAUAUUUUGGUCUCUCCUAAAGCAGCCAAACUAAUAUCCUCACUCAUACAGCAUUCAGACUAGUAAAGAGACAAUUACAAAAGUGUGGGAAGGGCUGUGAAGAGACAAGAAUCGAUGCUGUAAAGCAGCAGCAGAAGAGAGACAACUGGUCCGUGCUUGGGUUCAGGGAAAGUUCUCCAGAGAAGGGGAUGUUUCCGCUGAGUCCUGAAGGCUGAGAAGAAAAUGAGAGUAAACGAUCUGAGCAGAGAAAACAGACAUGAGAUGAAAGGAAGGGACUGGUGUGUUUGGGAACCGAGAACAGGCGGCCUCUUAACUUUUGUACAUAGGUUAUUGCUGAAAAUGGGUGAAAGUAGUAUUCACAGGAUAAUCUUCCAAAAACUGAACCCAUCACGUUUUAGAGACAGUCUUCAGUCAUUGAUAGGUAUCUCUUACUAUUCAAACUCUUGCUGUCCCAACUCAGGAACUGGAUAGAUUCAGAUACAUUUGUAGGAUAAAUCCUUCCCCAUUCAAAUUUGAGGAGCCCUGGUGCCACAGUAGUUAAAGCAAUUGGCAGCUAACCAAAAAGGUCGGCAGUUUGAAACCACCUAUGGCUCCGUGGGAGAAAGAUGUGGCAGUCUGCUUCCAUAGAGAUUUACAGCCUUGGAAACCCUCAGGGGUUGCUAUGAGUCUGAAUCGACUCGAUGGCAGUGGGUUUGGUUUUUUUGUAUUCAAAAUUUAUACUACUCACAAGCCAAAGCUAAGAAGCUAAACAGAUUUGGGAUAAGGUGGUCUCUGCUGGAAUCGGCUCAAAAGCAACUAACAACAACACUUAUUAGUGUCAGCAUUUGCUUUUUCAUUUUCAAUGUGUUUUUUACAAAAUAAUCACAAACAGAAAUAUUCAGCUAAGUAUGCAGACAUUGCCAUUGUCUGACCACUGCCUUCGGUCUUCUGCUAAAUUCCGUGAGGGCAGGCACCCUGUCAGUCUUGUUUCCUCAGCAGCCAGGUGGGGGGCAUUUAAUAUUGUGUUAGAUGAAUUAACUGUUUUUAGACAACAAAGCUGUCAAAAUUAGACUGCUGUCUGGCAGGCAGUCCCUGCAUGUGAGAAUCUGAAAUGUUCGUUUACCAGGAAUAGAAGUCUGAUUCUGUUAUAUGAAAAAUGACAAAAGGGACUUGUGAAUAGCCUAUCACCCAGCGAUUCCACUCCUACUCUGUGUUCAACAGAAAUGCAUACGUGUGUUUACCAAGACAGCAGCACAAUCAUAACACCAAAACUGGAGACAGUCCAAACAUCCGUCAAGGGUAGAACGGAUCACUGUGGUAAUUUCAUACACUGGAAUGCUACCGUAACCAAUGGACUAUUUGCAACAACGCAGGUGACUCUCAGAUCCUGAAAGAAGCCAGUCCAAGAUCAGACUAUGAUUCUACUUCAUGUAUAAAGAUCAAAAAGGCAAAGCUAACCUAUGCCACGAGAAGCCAGUUAGUAGUUACUUUUGGAGGAGAAGUGAGGAAGGGAGCAUGGCAUGGCCGGCUCUGGGCUGCUGGUCCUGCUCUGCAUCUAGGUGAUGGUUAGUGUGUUUUCUUAGUGAAGAUUCAUCAUGCCUUAUGAUUAUUGUGCUCUUUUUCUGUAAGUAUGUGUGUUACACUUCCAUUAAAAAGUAAAAAAC